rnacentral:rRNA from 1 species
UACGUAGGGGGCGAGCGUUGUCCGGAUUUAUUGGGCGUAAAGAGCUCGUAGGCGGUUUGGUAAGUCGGGUGUGAAAUCUCCACGCUCAACGUGGAGGAGCCACUCGAUACUGCCAUGACUCGAGUCCGGUAGAGGAGUGUGGAAUUCCCGGUGUAGCGGUGAAAUGCGCAGAUAUCGGGAGGAACACCCGUAGCGAAGGCGGGUCUCUGGGCCGAUACUGACGCUGAGGAGCGAAAGCGUGGGGAGCGAACAGG